UACGUAGGGACCAAGCGUUGUUCGGAUUUACUGGGCGUAAAGGGCGCGUAGGCGGCGCGGUAAGUCACUUGUGAAAUCUCUGAGCUUAACUCAGAACGGCCAAGUGAUACUGCAGUGCUAGAGUGUGGAAGGGGCAAUCGGAAUUCUUGGUGUAGCGGUGAAAUGCGUAGAUAUCUGAAGGAACAUCAGUGGCGAAAGCGACUUCCUGGACGAAUACUGACGCUCAUGUGCGAAAGCGUGGGGAGCAAACAGG
rnacentral:rRNA from 1 species